rnacentral:misc_RNA from 1 species
AAGGAUCAUUAAAGAAUCGCCCCGUUUUUUGAAAUGGGUUCUAUUCCCAAACCGUGUAUACAUACCUUUGUUGCUUUGGCAGGCCGCCUUUUAGGAGUCGGCUCCGGCUGACUGCGCCUGCCAGAGGACCCAAACUCUUUUGUUUAGUGAUGUCUGAGUACUAUAUAAUAGUUAAAACUUUCAACAACGGAUCUCUUGGUUCUG